UGGGGAAUAUUGCACAAUGGGGGAAACCCUGAUGCAGCGACGCCGCGUGAGCGAAGAAGGUUUUCGAAUCGUAAAGCUCUGUCCUAUGGGAAGAUAAUGACGGUACCAUAGGAGGAAGCCCCGGCUAACUACGUGCCAGCAGCCGCGGGAAUACGUAGGGGGCAAGCGUUGUCCGGAAUCACUGGGCGUAAAGGGUUCGCAGGCGGAAAUGCAAGUCAGUUGUGAAAGGCAGAGGCUCAACCUCUGUAAGCAAUUGAAACUGUAUUUCUUGAGAUGUGGAGAGGCGAGUGGAAUUCCUAGUGUAGCGGUGAAAUGCGUAGAUAUUAGGAGGAAUACCGGUGGCGAAGGCGACUUGCUGGACACAAACUGACGCUGAGGAACGAAAGAGUGGGUAGCAAACAGG
rnacentral:rRNA from 1 species